UCUUACUCCCUAAAUUUUACCUGAUGUGGCGGAUUCUGAUAAGUUGGAGUAUAAGUUGGGAUUACAAAAUGGGAGUACGUACAUGUAGUAUUUUCCUAGGUACAAACAGAAGAAGAAGCAGAAGCAGAAGAAGCUUUUGGACGAAAUGGCUGCUAUAUAUCGUUCAAGGGAUUGGUUUCUUCAGCCAAUUCUUUUGACUCAAAGAAACACUGCAUCUUUACUUGCAGAUAUUUCUCAGGUUUGGGGCUGUUUCCGAUCUAAAUUCGUUCUCUUUCAUUAUUCCUUGAAUUAAAAAUGGGUUUUGAUUUGUUUUGUUUAAAUUUGUUAUCUUGCUUAGUUUGCAAAAUGCUAUCUUUGUUUUUGUCCUUAUUUUAUCAAACUGGAAUCUCUGAAUUUGUUGUUUAUGGUUUGAUUAUAAUG